rnacentral:rRNA from 1 species
GCCUAACACAUGCAAGUCGAGCGGAUGACGGGAGCUUGCUCCUUGAUUCAGCGGCGGACGGGUGAGUAAUGCCUAGGAAUCUGCCUGGUAGUGGGGGACAACGUUUCGAAAGGAACGCUAAUACCGCAUACGUCCUACGGGAGAAAGCAGGGGACCUUCGGGCCUUGCGCUAUCAGAUGAGCCUAGGUCGGAUUAGCUAGUUGGUGGGGUAAUGGCUCACCAAGGCGACGAUCCGUAACUGGUCUGAGAGGAUGAUCAGUCACACUGGAACUGAGACACGGUCCAGACUCCUACGGGAGGCAGCAGUGGGGAAUAUUGGACAAUGGGCGAAAGCCUGAUCCAGCCAUGCCGCGUGUGUGAAGAAGGUCUUCGGAUUGUAAAGCACUUUAAGUUGGGAGGAAGGGCAGUAAGUUAAUACCUUGCUGUUUUGACGUUACCGACAGAAUAAGCACCGGCUAACUCUGUGCCAGCAGCCGCGGUAAUACAGAGGGUGCAAGCGUUAAUCGGAAUUACUGGGCGUAAAGCGCGCGUAGGUGGUUUGUUAAGUUGGAUGUGAAAGCCCCGGGCUCAACCUGGGAACUGCAUCCAAAACUGGCAAGCUAGAGUACGGUAGAGGGUGGUGGAAUUUCCUGUGUAGCGGUGAAAUGCGUAGAUAUAGGAAGGAACACCAGUGGCGAAGGCGACCACCUGGACUGAUACUGACACUGAGGUGCGAAAGCGUGGGGAGCAAACAGGAUUAGAUACCCUGGUAGUCCACGCCGUAAACGAUGUCAACUAGCCGUUGGAAUCCUUGAGAUUUUAGUGGCGCAGCUAACGCAUUAAGUUGACCGCCUGGGGAGUACGGCCGCAAGGUUAAACUCAAAUGAAUUGACGGGGGGCCCCCACAGCGGUGGAGCAUGUGGUUUAAUU